rnacentral:tRNA from 1 species
GAGGGUAUAGCUCAAUAGUAGAGCGUGUGCUUAGCAUGCAUGAGGUCCUGGGAUCAAUACCCAGUACCUCCA